rnacentral:rRNA from 1 species
AUUGAACGCUGGCGGCAUGCCUUACACAUGCAAGUCGAACGGCAGCACGGGAGCAAUCCUGGUGGCGAGUGGCGAACGGGUGAGUAAUAUAUCGGAACGUGCCCAGUCGUGGGGAUAACGUAGCGAAAGCUACGCUAAUACCGCAUACUAUCUAUGGAUGAAAGCGGGGGAUCGCAAGACCUCGCGCGAUUGGAGCGGCCGAUAUCAGAUUAGGUAGUUGGUGAGGUAAAGGCUCACCAAGCCGACGAUCUGUAGCUGGUCUGAGAGGACGACCAGCCACACUGGGACUGAGACACGGCCCAGACUCCUACGGGAGGCAGCAGUGGGGAAUUUUGGACAAUGGGCGCAAGCCUGAUCCAGCAAUGCCGCGUGCAGGAUGAAGGCCUUCGGUUGGUUAAACG